CUUCAUCUCUUCUUUCUUUCCUCUAUCUAGCAAGCUGUUGUGGUUAUGGUGCAUGCAGUGUUACUUUAAAUAGCAUUUCUGCUCAAGGGACAGGCUUCCAAAACCUUUAGUAAGCAUAAAAAAAUAAAGGAAUGGAUUGUUCAGUGACAUUCUUGGGUGAUCUGCCCAUGGCCUUUAUAAACCAAGGGAUGAGAACAACCUGUGCCACAGUGAAAUAAAUUGGUUCUAAAUGUCCACUACCGGUACUGUUGUAGCCCAACGUACAAUUAUGAAACUUUUAUUUCAUACUAAAAUAUCCAAUAUUGUCUAAUAAUUGUAAUCUACUGGGCACAGAAAUAAUUUAAAAACACAUAAUGGUCCCACCGUGACAAUACCACGUAUUGGUCUGUCAUGUUUGCUACAUGAAAACAAGAACAGCUAGCAUAAAUACAAGCAUGGCAUUUUUUGUAUAUGGGCUUCUAUUUUCAAGUUAGAGUAAUUUAAAUGUAAUUUAAAAGUUAAACCAAAGUGAAAUGUAGUAAUUUAAAGAAAAAUUAGUUUGGAUUAGGCUUUUAGAACUUACUUAAUUUUAAAGUAUUGCCGUAUAUUACCUUCAGGAACAGAAGUCCAUGCCUUCACAGAAACAAUCACAUUAGGAAUUAAUUUAAAACAUAACAUUUGAGGAAGAAUAUAAC